rnacentral:rRNA from 1 species
UACGUAGGGGGCAAGCGUUGUCCGGAAUUAUUGGGCGUAAAGGGCGCGUAGGCGGCUCGGCACGUCCGUUGUGAAAUCGCCCGGCUCAACUGGGCGGGGUCAGCGGAUACGGUCGAGCUUGAGCAAGCUAGGGGGCAAUGGAAUUCCCGGUGUAGUGGUGGAAUGCGUAGAUAUCGGGAGGAACACCAGUGGCGAAGGCGGUUGCCUGGGGCUUUGCUGACGCUGAUGCGCGAAAGCGUGGGGAGCGAUCCGG